GAACAUUUCUUUAGCUCUUUCGUGGGUCGGGCAUCAAGAACCGGAAUUGAUAUCACAUAUGCCCUUCUCUUUGGUCCAUAGCUAGCAACUCACCGUACCAAGCGCGGCAGCCUCACCCCCUCGGGAACGGAAUCCUACCCUUUUGAUAUGUCAGCCAAACAGCCCAGAUGGGACGAGACUAGUCCGGUCAACAGAUACUAGAUGAUACCUCGUAUUCAGUACUCUCAGUACUCCCAGACCAGGGCUAGUCACUUUUGAUCCCCAUAAGUACGACAAUCUCUCCUUCACUCGGCAGGGCACGGGCAUCAGCCUUAAUAAAGUACGUUUCCGUUUUCACGAGCAGAAAUACGAUUGAUUGAAGCAGGCAACGAAGGGGACGAAGUAGCAGCAGCUUUAUACGAUAU
rnacentral:lncRNA from 1 species